GUGUCAGCCGCCGCGGUAAAACGUAGGGGGCAAGCGUUAUCCGGAAUUACUGGGUGUAAAGGGUAUGUAGGCGGAUUUGUAAGUUGGGUGUAAAAACUCAGGGCUUAACCUUGAGCUUGUGUCCAAUACUGCAAGUCUAGAGAGCAGGAGAGGGAAGCGGAAUUCCCGGUGUAGGGGUAAAAUCCGUAGAUAUCGGGAGGAACACCAGUGGCGAAGGCGGCUUCCUAGACUGUCUCUGACGCUCAUGUACGAAAGCGUGGGGAGCAAACAGGAUUAGAUACCCUGGUAGUCCACGCCCUAAACGAUGGAUGCUUGGUGUUGGGGGGUAAUUCCCUCGGUGCCGGAGCUAACGCGUUAAGCAUCCCACCUGGGGAGUACGGCCGCAAGGUUGAAACUUAAAGGAAUUGGCGG
rnacentral:rRNA from 1 species